AUGUCAGAAAUGAAAAAAUGUACACUUGAAAUACACUUUCCAGUCAGCUUAUGUGAGCAACCUGAAAUGAGGAAAGAAAGAAAAAGAUCAAAAACAAGGAAGAAUAAAAGAUGGAAGCAGGUAGAAAUUCUUCUGGACUGGAAUCUUCCUCAAGGCUUACUUUGUUCCUGGGACCAGUGGUGCAUUGACUCACUCGGACCUGGCUUGCCUGGCAUGCAUUGCAACAAUAACGUGCAAGGAAGUAAAGAGAUGAGUGAAUUCAUAAGCAUACUGUAAUUUGAGAUGUCUUAUGCAAGGUAUUCUAGAAAUGCCAAGUAUCUUGUUUACAACAAACCAAAACUGAAAUGUUGGUUGUCAUGUUCACUACCACAUAGAAAAUACACAGUGAAAGACUUCCACAUUUUUAGUAAAAUAAGCAAAGGGGCAAAGGUGAUUUAUCUUGAUGAAGUUCUGUAAGGCA
rnacentral:lncRNA from 1 species